ACCCGCGUCCUCUGUUGCUACUAGCCUUGUGCUGGGCCACACUGAGGAGCCACCACUGAUAAAGUGGAGGAAGGAGCGGGCCACGGCAGGUCAGUAUGCCCCGAAUCUCCCGGGCCACACGCGAGUGCAAUGGCAGGUAACAAUGGGUUCCGACCUCGAAAGGGGAAGGCAAUCUCGAAAGCCUGCCGUAGUUGGGAUGCAGGGCUGAAACCCGCCCUCGUGAACAUGGAAUCCCUAGUAAUCGCGUGUCAUUAGCGCGCGGCGAAUAC
rnacentral:rRNA from 1 species